AAGACUAUACUUUCAGGGAUCAUUUCUUUAGUUCUUGACUUGAGCAAUGUGUUUCUUAAAAGUUUGGUCUUGCUGCCCACAAUGAAGAGUUAUGAUGUUUUCUUCAGAGCAGGAAUCUAGUGGGAAGACUUUGUUUUUUCUUCACUGUUGAUGACUGUUCAGCAUUUCUGAAAGAAAUGCUGAUGGAGGAAAUAUGUUCUGAGUGGA
rnacentral:snoRNA from 1 species